AGUUCUUCCUGGAGCUCAUGAAGGUGCCACGUAUGGAAUCAAAGUUACGAGUUUUUUUGUUCAAAAUACAAUUCAACGCCCAGGUUUCGAAGCUAAACCAGGGUUUGAAAACUGUCAAUAGCGCAACUACUGAGGUCAGGAAGUCUGUUAAAUUGAGAGAAAUCAUCAAGAGAAGUUUUUAUUUGUGGAAGACAUUCAAUCAAG